rnacentral:rRNA from 1 species
CCUACGGGAGGCAGCAGUGGGGAAUAUUGCGCAAUGGGGGGAACCCUGACGCAGCAACGCCGCGUGAGUGAAGAAGGCCUUCGGUUUGUAAAGCUCUUUAAUCAGGGACGAAGAUUGACGUUACCGGAAGAAUAAGCUCCGGCUAAUUACGUGCCAGAAGCGGCGGUAAUACGUAGGGAGCAAGCGUAACCCGGAUUUACUGGGUGUAAGGGGCGUGUAGGGGGGCCUGCAAGUCAGAAGUGAAAUCUGGGGGCUUAACCCGCAAACUGCUUUUGAAACUGUGGGCCUUGAGUGAUGGAGAGGCAGGCGGAAUUCCCAGUGUAGCGGUGAAAUGCGUAGAUAUUGGGAGGAACACCAGUGGCGAAGGCGGCCUGCUGGACAUUAACUGACGCUGAGGCGCGAAAGCGUGGGGAGCAAACAGGAUUAGAUACCCGUGUAGUC